rnacentral:rRNA from 1 species
UACGAAGGGGGCGAGCGUUGUUCGGAUUUACUGGGCGUAAAGAGCGUGUAGGCGGCCAAACAGGUCCGUUGUGAAAACUGGAGGCUCAACCUCCAGACGUCGACGGAAACCGUGUGGCUAGAGUCCGGAAGAGGAGAGUGGAAUUCCUGGUGUAGCGGUGAAAUGCGCAGAUAUCAGGAAGAACACCAAUGGCGAAGGCAGCUCUCGUGGGACGGUACUGACGCUGAGACGCGAAAGCGUGGGGAGCGAACAGG